UGCGUAGACGGCAUGUUAAGUUCGUUGUUAAAGGCUUCAGCCUAACUGGAGUAUCGCAAUGAAAACUGGCAAGCUAGAGGAUGAGAGAGAGAAGUGGAAUUCCCGGAGUAGCGGUAAAAUGCGCGGAUCUCGGGAGGAACACCAAUGGCGAAGGCAGCUUCUUGGCUCAUAUCUGACGUUGAGGCACGAAAGCGUGGUAGCAAACA
rnacentral:rRNA from 1 species